ACGGAAGGCAGCAGUGGGGAAUAUUGCACAAUGGGGGAAACCCUGAUGCAGCAACGCCGCGUGAGCGAUGAAGGUCUUCGGAUCGUAAAGCUCUGUCCUUAGGGACGAAGAAGUGACGGUACCUAAGGAGGAAGCCCCGGCUAACUACGUGCCAGCAGCCGCGGUAAUACGUAGGGGGCGAGCGUUAUCCGGAAUUAUUGGGCGUAAAGAGUACGUAGGUGGUUUUGUAAGCGUAAGGUGAAAGCCCGGGGCUUAACUCCGGCGAGCCUUAUGAACUGAAAGACUUGAGUGCAGGAGGGGAAAGGGGAAUUCCUAGGGUAGCGGUAAAAUGCGUAGAUAUUAGGAGGAACACCAGUGGGGAAGGCGACUUUCUGGACUGUAACUGACACUGAGGUACGAAAGCGUGGGGAGCAAACAGGAUUAGAUACCCUGGUA
rnacentral:rRNA from 1 species